CUGACAUUUGUAAAUAACAAUUUUACAGAGAGGACAGAAGGUUUUUCUAAGUGGACCACCCGCAACAAAACUCCGGUUAUGCCGAGCUGGCGAAGGGAUAGACGGUGUGCGGAGCGUCCAGUUAAGAUUUUUAUAUAUAUUUCCCCAAUCGACUCAACGUGGGGAACUCCCACACCCUGAAAGCCGGGCAUUAUUAGGGAAGUGUUGGCCCCUUUUAAGUUAUUUCUAAGAACGUUUACUUUUUGCUUACUUUCCUCAGAUUUCCACGAGUUCAUCCCCUGGUUUUGGAUAAUGGCAAUGGCUGUUUUUUUGUUUGAUAGAACCGAUUCAAAUCGUUCAGGGGAUUGUUUCAGCGAUUCGUCCUGAGUCUCAUUCACUUCUCGGGGUUUCCUGCCGGACGUGUCUCCCCCGUAGUUUCCACGCCCCUCCGGUAGUUUCCCUUUUGACAAUUUGGACAUUUGGGAGUUAUCGUGUUUUGCUUACCACAUCGAUAGCAAAACAACGACCUUGCUGUGGAUGGACAAUCCACGAAUGUGUGCCCUGAUUCCUGACAAUUCCAGCAAACAUACACCUUGUUGUGCUGUUGUGCCAUCCGAAUAGCAGAGACAGUAUCAGGUUCACAUCUCUAGACUGAACUCUUCUAGUCCCCGGUGUAAGAAAAUUGUCACCCUCAUUUUCUAUCCCAGUUGGUGCAGUUUGAGGGUUAUUAUCUAUGUUCCCAUGACCAGGACGAUUUAUAAUGGUGGAAGAUAAGUCCCUAAAUUGCCCUGUAUUUUCCAUGUUUCCAGUUUCUAAUUCAUUCAUCUUUUUCUUUUUAGGUUCGAUUUGACCUUGAUCGGAAUUAGCAUCAAAAUGUAACGGCCAGUUUCUUUUAUUCGCUGUCUUUGACCUGGUAUACAUUCCCUAAACUACGUUUUCUAUAUAGAUAAAACUAGUUGUUAAAAUGCACUUUGAUACUUUUACUAUCUUAUCUUAGACUUAAA